AAACCGGAGGAAGGUGGGGAUGACGUCAAGUCAUCAUGGCCCUUACGGCCAGGGCUACACACGUGCUACAAUGGUCGGUACAAAGGGUUGCCAAGCCGCGAGGUGGAGCUAAUCCCAUAAAACCGAUCGUAGUCCGGAUCGCAGUCUGCAACUCGACUGCGUGAAGUCGGAAUCGCUAGUAAUCGUGAAUCAGAACGUCACGGUGAAUACGUUCCCGGGCCUUGUACACACCGCCCGUCACACCAUGGGAGUGGGUUGUACCAGAAGUAGUUAGUCUAACCUUCGGGGAGGACGAUUACCACGGUGUGAUUCAUGACUGGG
rnacentral:rRNA from 1 species